rnacentral:rRNA from 1 species
UAAGCGGAGGAAAAGAAACUAACAAGGAUUCCCCUAGUAACGGCGAGUGAAGCGGGAAGAGCUCAAAUUUGAAAUCUGGUAGCCUUCGGCUGCCCGAGUUGUAAUCUAGAGAAGUGUUUUCCGUGCCGGCCCAUGUACAAGUCCCUUGGAACAGGGCGUCAUAGAGGGUGAGAAUCCCGUCCUUGACAUGGACCCCCGGUGCUUUGUGAUACACUUUCAACGAGUCGAGUUGUUUGGGAAUGCAGCUCAAAAUGGGUGGUGAAUUCCAUCUAAAGCUAAAUAUUGGCGAGAGACCGAUAGCGAACAAGUACCGUGAGGGAAAGAUGAAAAGCACUUUGGAAAGAGAGUUAAACAGUACGUGAAAUUGUUGAAAGGGAAACGAUUGAAGUCAGUCAUGCUCUUUGGAUUCAGCCGUUCUGCGGUGUAUUUCCAUUGAGUGGGGUCAACAUCAGUUUUGACCGCUGGAUAAAGGCACUAGGAAGGUAGCACUCUCGGGUGAACUUAUAGCCUAGCGUCAUAUACAGUGGUUGGGACUGAGGAACGCAGCAUGCCUUUAUGGCCGGGAUUCGUCCACGUACAUGCUAG